rnacentral:lncRNA from 10 species
CCUGCCUGAACCAUGCACACUAAUCAUUUAAUGUUCUACAGAAGAAAAGAACAAACAGAGCAGGGAGGCAGAUGUGGCCACAUACUGGAUCUACACUUAAAACAGUGAAUGGCUGCUACCCCCACCUCCUGCAGUAGAUGGAGUCUCGCUCUGUCGCCCAGGCUGAAGUGCAGUGGUGCGAUCUCGGCUCACUGCAAGCUCUGCCUCCCGGGUUCACGCCAUUCUCCUGCGUCAGCUUCCCAAGUCGCUGGGACUACAGGAACAGGAAGAAAGGAAGGAUCACCUAUAGAAAACUCACCCUGAAAAGAUGUGGAGACAGGACUCAAGGAGGUCCCAUUUCCAAAUGGAAGAAGUAAAAUUUUAACAGGAUGAAGUCUUUGACCCGAACCUAAAUACAGACCAGAAUUCUGAGCCCAAAAACUAUCUCCAGCAUCCGGAGAAGAAGCAUCAUGAAAGGGGAGGAGAGAGCUGUUUAUAUAUAAAAUAAGUUGAAUUUGCAAGAAAGAACCGACUGUCUUUUUCUUUAAAAAUUGUAGGUAGUAUCAAAGUUUUUCUCCUCUUUACAGAUAAAAACAAAAAGGCUAACGGAAUGCAGUCGACCGAGAACUAGUUUCUUACAUUUCCAUUGAGGGUAUCUUUCUCUAGAUCUGUCAUUUUUCAGAAUUUUCCAAGUAAUAAAGUCACAGGCUUUUUUGUUAGGUGGCUGGAAAGAGAAAUGUAUUUGUCAUUCUGUCUGAUCUUCCAAAGCAUUUUUCAGUGUUGUUUUUGUUGCUGUUAUCUUGUUGAAUUUUUUAUCAGACUAUUAUUGGUAUCACCAAUAAAG